UACGAAGGGAGCGAGCGUUGUUCGGAAUCACUGGGCUUAAAGCGUGCGUAGGCGGAUAUGUAAGUCAGAAGUGAAAUCCCCGGGCUUAACCCGGGAACUGCUUUUGAGACUGCAUGUCUGGAAUUCGGUAGAGGUUAGUGGAAUAUCCAGUGUAGAGGUGAAAUUCGCAGAUAUUGGAUGGAACACCAGUGGCGAAGGCGACUAACUGGACCGACAUUGACGCUGAGGCACGAAAGCGUGGGUAGCAAACAGG
rnacentral:rRNA from 1 species